GUUCUUUCUCGGCCUCUUGGCUAAGAUCAAGUGUAGUAACUGUUCUUAUUAGUGUAAUAUCUUAUAUGUGGAUCAAUAAUCCACACGAUAUUAAAUUAAUAUUUUGAUGGGGAUGACUUGCCACAAUAGCUUGCUAUUAGAGCAAGUUUACCCGUUGGGCUAAUAGGUCAGGUUCACCAGGUCACUA